rnacentral:lncRNA from 1 species
AGACAAUGUAAAACAAUUCAAACGAGAAAACUAACGGCCUUAUUUAUGUAAAAAAAUGAACGAAAAACAAAUAUGUAACACAUAAACAAACGACAACCACUGAAAUACAGGCUCCUGACUUGGGACAGGCACAUACAUAAAUAUUGUGGCGGGGUUAAACAUGUUAGCGGGAUCCCAACCCUCCCCCUAACCUGGGACAGUGGUAUAACAGUACAACAUAAGAACGAACUAUAAAAAUCAGUUGAAAAAGGCGUAACUCAUCAGAAGGACAAAGAUACAAGUGGACGUGGCCCGG